AACUAAUCUGGAAAUUGUCCUUACAGUUAUUAGAUCAAUAGCUGAUGUCUUUUAUAUGAUUCAGAUAUAUGUUCGGUUUAGAACUGCUUAUGUUGCUCCAUCUUCUCGAGUAUUUGGGAGAGGAGAGCUUGUAAUAGAUUCUUCAAAGAUCGGUCACAGAUACUUUAAAAAAGGUUUCUGGAUCGAUAUCAUUGUUUGGGAGAGGAGAGCUUGUUAUAGAUUCUUCAAAGAUCGGUCACAGAUACUUUAAAAAAGGUUUCUGGAUCGAUAUCAUUGCUGCCCUGCCUUUACCACAGGUCUGUCAACUGGAAAUUUGGGUAG
rnacentral:lncRNA from 1 species